rnacentral:rRNA from 1 species
UUUAAUUGGAGGCUCGUAUGAAUGGUUGGACAAAAAGCAAACUGUCUCAAUUAUAUUUAUUGAAUUUAACUUUUAAGUGAAAAGGCUUAAAUAAAUUAAGGGGACGAUAAGACCCUAUAAAGCUUUACAAUAAGUUACCUAUAUUAUAAAUUGUUAGUAUAACUUGAGUUUAGGUAACGUUUGUUGCGUUGGGGCGACGAGAAUAUAA